AUUGAACGCUGGCGGCAUGCCUUACACAUGCAAGUCGAACGGCAGCACGGGAGCUUGCUCCUGGUGGCGAGUGGCGAACGGGUGAGUAAUACAUCGGAACGUACCCUGAAGUGGGGGAUAACGUAGCGAAAGUUACGCUAAUACCGCAUAUUCUGUGAGCAGGAAAGAGGGGGAUCGCAAGACCUCUUGCUUUAGGAGCGGCCGAUGUCGGAUUAGCUAGUUGGUGAGGUAAAGGCUCACCAAGGCGACGAUCCGUAGCGGGUCUGAGAGGAUGAUCCGCCACACUGGGACUGAGACACGGCCCAGACUCCUACGGGAGGCAGCAGUGGGGAAUUUUGGACAAUGGGCGCAAGCCUGAUCCAGCCAUGCCGCGUGAGUGAAGAAGGCCUUCGGGGUUGUUAAAGG
rnacentral:rRNA from 1 species